GGUCCCCAUAAAUCACAAUGAAUUUUCUCAAAAGUACUUGAAUGUUUCGAACAAGAAAAAGGUAACCGACUAAGCUUUUCUAAUUGACAACUAUCACAAAGAUGUUGUGAUUUUGUUGUCCCUACAACAUCAAUUAACCCUCUAUUUUUUAAAAUUUGCAAAGCUGAAGAUUGAGGGUGGCCAAGGAGUUGAUGCCAUACUUCAGCUGUGCUAGCCUUGAAGCGAUUAGAACAAUAAAGUUCUGGUGAAGUGGAUCGGACAUAGAGAUCACCCUUGUGUUUCCCUGUCAUCAUUGCUUGUCCUGUUUCCCGUUCCUUAACACAAAAAUCCACAUUAGAAAAUUCACAAUUAAUAGGAAACCGAGUGGUUAGCUGACUGACAGAGAGCAAAUUCUUUUUUAGAUCAGGAACUAAUAACACAUCAUUUAGAGGUAAGGCUGAUUUUUUUUUUUUUUUUUAAUAAAAGAGUCUUCAAUUGCAAUAAUUGGCAUGGAAGAUCCUUCUCCUAUUAACACUGAAU
rnacentral:lncRNA from 1 species